AUUGAACGCUGGCGGCAUGCCUUACACAUGCAAGUCGAACGGCAGCACGGGUGCUUGCACCUGGUGGCGAGUGGCGAACGGGUGAGUAAUAUAUCGGAACGUACCUUAUCGUGGGGGAUAACGCAGCGAAAGCUGUGCUAAUACCGCAUAAGCCCUAAGGGGGAAAGCAGGGGACCGUAAGGCCUUGCGCGAUUAGAGCGGCCAAUACCUGAUUAGCUAGUUGGUGAGGUAAAGGCUCACCAAGGCAACGAUCAGUAGCUGGUCUGAGAGGACGAUCAGCCACACUGGGACUGAGACACGGCCCAGACUCCUACGGGAGGCAGCAGUGGGGAAUUUUGGACAAUGGGGGCAACCCUGAUCCAGCAAUGCCGCGUGAGCGAAGAAGGCCUUCGGGUUGUAAAGCUCUUUUGUCAGGGAAGAAACAGCAGCUCUAAUACAGUAUGCGAAUGACGGUACCUGAAGAAUAAGCACCGGCUAACUACGUGCCAGCAGCCGCGGUAAAAC
rnacentral:rRNA from 1 species